rnacentral:tRNA from 1 species
GCCUGGGUGGCUCAGUCGGUUAAGCAUCUGACUUGAGCUCAGGUCAUGAUCUUAGAGUUAGUGAGUUCAAGUCUCACAUCAGGCA